rnacentral:rRNA from 1 species
UACGUAGGGGGCAAGCGUUAUCCGGAAUCACUGGGCGUAAAGGGUGCGUAGGCGGUCCUUCAAGCCAGAGGUAAAAGGCAUUGGCUUAACCAAUGUAAGCCUUUGGAACUGUUGGACUUGAGUGCAGGAGAGGUAAGUGGAAUUCCUAGUGUAGCGGUGAAAUGCGUAGAUAUUAGGAGGAACACCAGUGGCGAAGGCGACUUACUGGACUGUAACUGACGCUGAGGCACGAAAGCGUGGGGAGC